rnacentral:rRNA from 1 species
UGAACGCUGGCGGUAUGCUUAACACAUGCAAGUCGAACGGAAACGAUACUAGCUUGCUAGUAGGCGUCGAGUGGCGGACGGGUGAGUAACGCGUAGGAAUCUGCCUGAUAGUGGGGGAUAGCCCGAAGAAAUUCGGAUUAAUACCGCAUAAUCUAUUCGUAGUAAAGUGGGGGACUUUCGAGCCUCACGCUAUCAGAUGAGCCUGCGUAAGAUUAGCUUGUUGGUAGGGUAAAAGCCUACCAAGGCGACGAUCUUUAGCUGGUCUGAGAGGAUGAUCAGCCACAUCGGGACUGAGACACGGCCCGAACUCCUACGGGAGGCAGCAGUGGGGAAUAUUGGACAAUGGGGGCAACCCUGAUCCAGCAAUACCGCGUGUGUGAAGAAGGCCUGAGGGUUGUAAAGCACUUUCAAUUGUGAAGAAAAGUUAGCGGUUAAUAACCGUUAGCCUUGACGUUAACUUUAGAAGAAGCACCGGCUAACUCCGUGCCAGCAGCCGCGGUAAUACGGAGGGUGCAAGCGUUAAUCGGAAUUACUGGGCGUAAAGCGUGCGUAGGCGGUUUAUUAAGUCAGAUGUGAAAGCCCCGGGCUUAACCUGGGAACUGCAUUUGAAACUGGUCAACUAGAGUAUGGUAGAGGAAAGUGGAAUUUCUGGUGUAGCGGUGAAAUGCGUAGAUAUCAGAAGGAACAUCAAUGGCGAAGGCAGCUUUCUGGACCAAUACUGACGCUGAGGUACGAAAGCGUGGGUAGCAAACAGGAUUAGAUACCCUGGUAAUCCACGCCGUAAACGAUGAUAACUAGCCGUUGGGGGGAUUUACCCUUUAGUGGCGAAGCUAACGCGUUAAGUUAUCCGCCUGGGGAGUACGGCCGCAAGGUUAAAACUCAAAGGAAUUGACGGGGACCCGCACAAGCGGUGGAGCAUGUGGUUUAAUUCGAUGCAACGCGAAGAACCUUACCUGGUCUUGACAUCCUGCGAACUUUCUAGAAAUAGAUUGGUGCCUUCGGGAACGCAGUGACAGGUGCUGCAUGGCUGUCGUCAGCUCGUGUCGUGAGAUGUUGGGUUAAGUCCCGUAACGAGCGCAACCCCUAUCCUUAUUUGCCAGCACAUCAUGGUGGGAACUAUAAGGAGACUGCCGGUGAUAAACCGGAGGAAGGCGGGGACGACGUCAAGUCAUCAUGGCCCUUACGACCAGGGCUACACACGUGCUACAAUGGGAAGGACAAAGAGCCGCGAAGCCGCGAGGUGUAGCUAAUCUCAUAAACCUUUUCGUAGUCCGGAUUGGAGUCUGCAACUCGACUCCAUGAAGUCGGAAUCGCUAGUAAUCGUAGAUCAGAAUGCUACGGUGAAUACGUUCCCGGGUCUUGUACACACCGCCCGUCA